GUGAUGAUGCAUUUCGCUUUUGAGAAGAAUCUGUUUUAUGAUCCCCCGUCAAUCUGCAUAUGCACACAACAAUUAAGUACUGCAAUUUCCAACAUGGAUGAUAUGCAGAUCUCUUGACAAGAUUUAGUUAGGAAAUUCAUGGGGGCAUGGCUUACAUUGGAAAUGCAAAUGAUUUGCCACUGGCCCCACUCACAUCUGAACGGCGAAAGCUAGCAGAUUGAUGUGCUAUUUUGGCAGUAGAAUUAUGUUUAGUAGCAUCAGCUUCAUUCUCGCUUACGAUUUCCCUCAUUGCUUCAGCAGCUUUUGCUUCACUGAGUCGUUCGGUUUCGCCGGAUUUUUUAUUCGGCGUUUGAUGACUCGGAUGUCGCUUACUUGAAAAAUCAACCAUUGGAGACAAGGGGCCAGACAGGGUAAGAUCACCAACUAAACCAAGCUCUCCAGACUUACCAAACCAGUUUGCUUGGUCUUUGGUGAAGCUCAUAUUCCCCAUGUGA
rnacentral:misc_RNA from 1 species